GAUUGAACGCUGGCGGAAUGCUUUACACAUGCAAGUCGAGCGGCAGCGCGGGGCAACCUGGCGGCGAGCGGCGAACGGGUGAGUAAUGCAUCGGAACGUACCCAUUUGUGGGGGAUAACUAUCCGAAAGGAUAGCUAAUACCGCAUAAGUCCUGAGGGAGAAAGCAGGGGAUCGCAAGACCUUGCGCGAAUGGAGCGGCCGAUGCCGGAUUAGCUAGUUGGUAGGGUAAAGGCCUACCAAGGCGACGAUCCGUAGCUGGUCUGAGAGGAUGAUCAGCCACACUGGAACUGAGACACGGUCCAGACUCCUACGGGAGGCAGCAGUGGGGAAUUUUGGACAAUGGGGGCAACCCUGAUCCAGCCAUUCCGCGUGAGUGAAGAAGGCCUUCGGGUUGUAAAGCUCUUUCGGCAGGAACGAAACGGUGGGGGCUAAUACCCUCCGCUAAUGACGGUACCUGAAGAAGAAGCACCGGCUAACUACGUGCCAGCAGCCGCGGUAAUACGUAGGGUGCGAGCGUUAAUCGGAAUUACUGGGCGUAAAGCGUGCGCAGGCGGUUCUAUAAGACAGAUGUGAAAUCCCCGGGCUUAACCUGGGAACUGCGUUUGUGACUGUAGGACUCGAGUGUGGCAGAGGGGGGUGGAAUUCCACGUGUAGCAGUGAAAUGCGUAGAGAUGUGGAGGAACACCGAUGGCGAAGGCAGCCCCCUGGGUCAACACUGACGCUCAUGCACGAAAGCGUGGGUAGCAAACAGGAUUAGAUACCCUGGUAGUCCACGCCCUAAACGAUGCGAACUAGGUGUUGGGGAAGGAGACUUUCUUAGUACCGCAGCUAACGCGUGAAGUUCGCCGCCUGGGGAGUACGGUCGCAAGAUUAAAACUCAAAGGAAUUGACGGGGACCCGCACAAGCGGUGGAUGAUGUGGAUUAAUUCGAUGCAACGCGAAAAACCUUACCUACCCUUGACAUGCCAGGAACUUGGUAGAGAUACCUUGGUGCCCGAAAGGGAGCCUGGACACAGGUGCUGCAUGGCUGUCGUCAGCUCGUGUCGUGAGAUGUUGGGUUAAGUCCCGCAACGAGCGCAACCCUUGUCAUUAGUUGCCAUCAUUUAGUUGGGCACUCUAAUGAGACUGCCGGUGACAAACCGGAGGAAGGUGGGGAUGACGUCAAGUCCUCAUGGCCCUUAUGGGUAGGGCUUCACACGUCAUACAAUGGUCGGUACAGAGGGUUGCCAAGCCGCGAGGUGGAGCCAAUCCCAGAAAGCCGAUCGUAGUCCGGAUCGGAGUCUGCAACUCGACUCCGUGAAGUCGGAAUCGCUAGUAAUCGUGGAUCAGCAUGCCACGGUGAAUACGUUCCCGGGUC
rnacentral:rRNA from 1 species